rnacentral:tRNA from 1 species
GCCCCGGUAGCUCAGGUGGCGGAGAAUUGGGAGAACCCCCAAUCUGAAUCACCGGCUUGGUAAGCCGGGGGUCGCGGGUUCAAGUCCCGCCCGGGGCU